rnacentral:lncRNA from 1 species
CAGCAACGCAAUGGGCCAGUUUCGGGAACAAAGGAAAUUAUGGAACACCACACAAUACCGGGCUCUCUUUACUGGAUGGGAGGCCUGGCUGCAGUACCCUGGCGUCAAUGGAGAUUGCCUGUCAGAUUAGAGUAGCCACCAGACAGUCAUUCGUAUGGGUGUAAGCAUUCAGUAAAUGAAGUUAUGCAUUUUUGAACAAUUUGGAAAAUGGAAAAAUCAUGGAAAAUUGCCUGUCAACUCAUCCCGCAUGUGCAAAUUCCACCCGGCAGGAAGUGGUUAAUAGAUAUGGUGAAUAUGUGUUAGACUGUCAAUUUGUUCUCUUUUGCAAGUACUCAAUUUUUUUUUUUAAGGUGGUGACAGAAAAAAGAAAUGUAAGUCAUGAUACUUUUGUGCUUGUCAGGUUCCUUACACUUUGGUAAACAGUACAAGUAUUAUUUCACUGAUUUUUAAAAGCCAAAAAAAAUCCAGUCAGUAGAGGGUGCCUCUGUGGGUUGAUUUAAACCAGGGCAAACUUGGGCAAAGCGAAAACUUUAUGAGUUAAUUCAUAUGCUGACUAAAAGCCACAGUGCCAUUUGUGACCUACUCCAAAUUUCUCAGGCAGAAUGGAAACAUUGGGGAAAUGCCCAGUAAAAUCCAUAAAUCAACUUGAGUUACAAAGACGAGUUCAGUAGACUUUGUCACAAAUAUCUCCUAGUCAUUCUGAAGCCACUACCCCUCCCACAAGCAAAACGGGUCAGCUUGUGUUGAUGUGCUGAGUCAGCUAUUUAAAAGCAGUCUAAAGCUUGUGUUUGCUACUUUGUGUCUGCCCUUUCAGCCAGCAGCUGCAGUGGCAAAGGAAAACUGAAAACUCACAGAGAUUUUAACACGCACCGCGAAAGCAAAAGACACUGCCAAAGUGACUCAUAUAUUCUUGCAUCCUUACGUGGUCCAGAUUGGAGUGCAUAUCACCCUUGCUGCAGAAAGGCACUCUUCAGUGGCUACAGAACAAAAUGUCUAGAGAAUGGCUUUCUUUCCAGAAAUCGCUGGGUUUUGUUAACACUGUUGAAGUUAGGUUGUUGUGGGGUCUUAACCCGGCAUUCAGUUGAGGGGAGGGGAAUUGGAAUGCGUUCUACAGAGGAUUGGUCCCUCAAAAAAGAGCCGAGUCACAAUGCCAGGGGUUUUUUUUUGGUGUGUGUGUAUGGGAAAGCUUACUAGCUGUAGAGUUGUUGGAAUGGCAGGACUGGACCCCAUGAGACGUUUUCCCUGCCCUUUUUUUUUUUUGAAUACGUAAUGUGUGCCUGGGUUACCAGUGUGCUACCAUGUCAGUUGGGUUAGGCUACCAACUAAACCAGCUGUGGUGGUUGAGAUCCUCUUUGAGAUCUUCUCUCAAAUACUCCUGCAGUACUUGAGUCAGAUUCAGAGUGAAUGAGAAAUCAGUCACAGUGCUUUGACUCUGAACAUGCGAAACUGUUUGGAUUCUUUGCAUUGAUUUAUCCAGGUAUUGUGUGGGGGGGAAUGGAAUGAGCCAGUUCGGUAUUCCAACAGUGCAUACCCAGCAUGAGGCUAUUUGGGAACAGCUACGGGCAUGCGCUGUAGUCUGUCCUAUUAGGGCAGCCAUGUGCUGACUCAUGCAUGCGCUUUGUUCCUGAAAGAGCUUCUCUUUUAAAAUACUGAACCUGUUCGUUUCCUGAAAUGACCAUCCAACUUGUUCCCCCCCCCUUGCUGCAGGAUAUGUCAUUGAUUUGUUGUCGCUAUUAACCUCCCCGUGUCCUUCAAAAAAUGCUCAUGCGAGUUUGAAGGAUUUUGCGGGCUUGACAGGAAUUUGAGUUCAGCCUUUGUUUCUUCACAUGGGGCUUAAUGCUCCUUUUUUGGAAGCUGAAGUACAAGCAGGGUGCCAAAAAAUCGGGGGGGGGUCCUUAAAAAAAGAGUCACAAAGUAAUGUUUUGAAUAGGGUUAAACCAAUCUUUGAAUGAUAAUGAGAAGGUAUAAAAAGGUCAUCAAAGAAGCACUUGCCCGUCAAAAUGUAAAUGUUUACUUCUGAAUAUGCUUAAUCGUAAUAAUUCGACUUAAGUUUAGUUAUUCAUAUCACUGCUGUUUUCUAUUUCAUAAUGAUACUUGGCAGUCAAUUUACAAUUUGUAUGACUUAUGUGGUCUCUUAAAAUAACAACAGUGGAUAAAAAGGGGUGAAGUUCUGGAACAAACUGUCUUUUGGUCCUAAGUGCAUUCAGGCAUUUAAAUUUUACAGUUAUUUGCUCUUAAUUAAAUGACAAUCUUAAAGUAAUUUAUUAAAAUGACAAUUUCUUAAAGUAUCGUGAAAUCUAAUGUGCUUUUAAAUUUAAUAUUUUUUUUUUAAUUGUUGGGAUAAAGAGCAUUUUGGCUUAGUACUAAUAUGGAAAAUGUUGGAAAGGACUUAUAAUGAAUAAUGUUGCUGGAAUAUUUAACUCGUUGGAUUGUUACGUGUCUAAUUUUACCUUAAAUUAAUUGUGGCAUUGUUUGGUUUGUAGUUUUCACAAAGAAAGGGGGCAGAUUUCUAAAAAAAUCCCCUGUAGAAAAAAAGAAACAAAAUUUAGUCACUGCCAAUUAUUGAAAUCUCCAACUGUCCUUUGUUAAACUUGUGUUUUCUGUGGGAACAUAUUGGUAAUAGUCCAGUGUGGUGUUAAGUGUCUUGUAUUCAUGAGAAACACACAAUCUUUUUUUCUCCAGCUGAGAGUAAUUUUUUAUGUUAUUUUGUAUUUUGUGUAGUUCAAGGAAACAAGCACCCUAUCUUGGUGGAAUUUUGUGCACUUGUAAUGAUGACUUGUUUCACUGUCACAAAACAUGACUUCCUUUUUUUGUGUAGUUCAAGGAAAUAAGAAGCACCCUUACCUUGGUAGAAUUUUGUGCAUUUAUAACGAUGACUUGUUUCACUGUCACAAAAAGUUACUUUAUAAGUCCUUACUUUUGUAAUCCAUUGUAUGUUACUGUAUUUAGCUACUUCGUGCAUUCAUCUGCUGUUGCAGCAUAUUGGCUUUUUUUCACUGGAGUUAGUAACUGGCAUAUCUGAGAAUAAGUUGUUAUUUAAGUGUGCUUAGUGCAUGUAUUUACAUGACAACCCUUUGGUGAGACACACCAAGUCUUCUAUCCUCUGUUUGUCUUGCUGGUGAUUGGGUAGUGUUUGUUCUCAGAGCAGAGUCUAAAUCAGAAAUAGUGAAAGAACCACUUACAGCGUAUUUCAGAAAGACGCGGUGGAAGAGGUGACAGCUUUUUCAUCUGACUCUGUACAUCGUCACAUAGAAAUAUAGAAUUUAUGUUAAGGAAGAACUUUCUGGAAGGACAUGCUCAAUUUUGAAAUAUUUCUUAUUUGCAGAUGAAUAAUUAAAACACUUGUUAAACAUGCGA